AUUGAACGCUGGCGGCAGGCCUAACACAUGCAAGUCGAGCGGAUGAAGGGAGCUUGCUCCUGGAUUCAGCGGCGGACGGGUGAGUAAUGCCUAGGAAUCUGCCUGGUAGUGGGGGAUAACGUCCGUAAACGGGCGCUAAUACCGCAUACGUCCUGAGGGUGAAAGUGGGGGAUCUUCGGACCUCACGCUAUCAGAUGAGCCUAGGUCGGAUUAGCUAGUUGGUGGGGUAAAGGCCUACCAAGGCGACGAUCCGUAACUGGUCUGAGAGGAUGAUCAGUCACACUGGAACUGAGACACGGUCCAGACUCCUACGGGAGGCAGCAGUGGGGAAUAUUGGACAAUGGGCGAAAGCCUGAUCCAGCCAUGCCGCGUGUGUGAAGAAGGUCUUCGGAUUGUAAAGCACUUUAAGUUGGGAGGAAGGGCAGUAAGUUAAUACCUUGCUGUUUUGACGUUACCAACAGAAUAAGCACCGGCUAACUUCGUG
rnacentral:rRNA from 1 species